UUGUGGUUAAAAAGCUCGUAGUUGGAUCUCGGCGGACUGAGGGCGGUUUGCUUGCUAGUAUUACUGCCCUAUAGUCCGUAGUUUUGCCAGAGGUUUCGGGGUGCUCUUAAUCGAGUGUCCCGGGAUGCUGGCAGGUUUACUUUGAGAAAAUUAGAGUGCUCAAAGCAGGCUAUUACGCCUGAAUAUUCGUGUAUGGAAUAAUAGAAUAGGAAGUCGUUUCUAUUUUGUUGGUUUUCGGAAAUCGACUUAAUGAUUAAUAGGGACAGUCGGGGGCAUUUGUAUUCAAACGACAGAGGUGAAAUUCUUGGACCGUUUGAAGACAAACUACUGCGAAAGCAUUUGCCAAGAAUGUUUUCAUUAAUCAAGAACGAAAGUUAAAGGUUCGAAGGCGAUUAGAUACCGCCCUAGUUUUAACCAUAAACGAUGCCAGCUAGCGAUCUGCGGACGUUUUUUUUGUAGACUCCGCAGGAAGCUUCCGGGAAACCAAAGCAUUUGGGUUCCAGGGGAAGUAUGGUUGCCAAGCUGAA
rnacentral:rRNA from 1 species